rnacentral:rRNA from 1 species
GGCGAACGGGUGAGUAAUACAUCGGAACGUGCCCAGUCGUGGGGGAUAACUACGCGAAAGCGUAGCUAAUACCGCAUACGAACUCUGGUUGAAAGCGGGGGAUCGCAAGACCUCGCGCGAUUGGAGCGGCCGAUGGCAGAUUAGGUAGUUGGUGGGGUAAAGGCCUACCAAGCCGACGAUCUGUAGCUGGUCUGAGAGGAUGACCAGCCACACUGGGACUGAGACACGGCCCAGACUCCUACGGGAGGCAGCAGUGGGGAAUUUUGGACAAUGGGCGCAAGCCUGAUCCAGCCAUUCCGCGUGCAGGAUGAAGGCCCUCGGGUUGUAAACUGCUUUUGUACGGAGCGAAACGCGCUGAGCUAAUACCUCGGCGUAAUGACGGUACCGUAAGAAUAAGCACCGGCUAACUACGUGCCAGCCGCCGCGG